GGAGAAGGACACCAUAAGGCUCAUAAAAACCCUUUAUGAGAACCUUGUACAAGUCACAGGUAAAAGAAAGAGAGAGGCCAAAACAUCCACUCUGUUGGAUGCAAAAGGACAGAGGGACCCUGCCUCCUUGCAACCUGAGGCCAUGGAGGAGAAUGGAACUAUUUCUGCUCUCUCAACACCUUGUGACCCUGAAACUUCACACCCUACUGUGGCUUCAGAAGCCC